rnacentral:rRNA from 1 species
AGCUCCAAUAGCGUAUAUUAAAGUUGCUGCUGUUAAAAAGCUCGUAGUUGGAUUUCUGAUAUAAUAUAUCUGUCCCGCUGUGGUUACACAUGUGAGUGACGGAAUAUAUUUAUCUGUUUUGUGUUUUUGUUCUUAUUAAUGAAAGUUAAUAAUAAACAUACACAUCUUUUACUUUGAACAAAUUAGAGUGUUUCAAGCAGGCAUUUAUGCCUUGAAUACAUGAGCAUGGAAUAAUCAUCGAGGACUUUUAGUUCUAUGUUGAUUGGUUCUAGAACUAUAGUAAUGAUGGAUAGAGAUAGUUGGGGGUGCUAGUAUUCCAAGGCCAGAGGUGAAAUUCUUGGAUUCUUGGAAGACUCACUUAGGCGAAAGCAUUCACCAAGGAUAUCUUCA